rnacentral:tRNA from 1 species
GGGUUAUAGCUCAGUUGGGAGAGCGACAGGUUCGCAAUCUGUAGGUCAGGAGUUCAAACCUCCUUAGCUCC